rnacentral:rRNA from 1 species
CAGCAGCCACGGUAAUACGAAGGGGGCUAGCGUUGUUCGGAAUUACUGGGCGUAAAGCGCACGUAGGCGGACAUUUAAGUCAGGGGUGAAAUCCCGGGGCUCAACCCCGGAACUGCCUUUGAUACUGGGUGUCUAGAGUAUGGAAGAGGUGAGUGGAAUUCCGAGUGUAGAGGUGAAAUUCGUAGAUAUUCGGAGGAACACCAGUGGCGAAGGCGGCUCACUGGUCCAUUACUGACGCUGAGGUGCGAAAGCGUGGGGAGCAAACAGGAUUAGAGACCCCAGUAGUCCCUGUCUCUUAUAC